CACAAUCGUGAUGGAAGUAUUUCGCAAAGAUUUCAGCUGUGACAGUUUUCCUAUCACUCGACCAGAGAUCAUUUAUAUGCACAGAAAUGCAGGAGGACAACAAAAACGACGUGUGUCUGGGAGUGGAAACUAACCAUAUGGAAGGUUGCCCACGAAGAUAGACCUCUUAUGGUUAUACUAAAGGACAAAAAAAAAAACAACAAGCAUUAACCAGAGUAUAUUCCAAAGGGCAGUUGGCACAUAUAUGACAGCCAGUUUUAAACCUUAGCUUUCUACGAUACUCACUGAACUGCGCUGGGAAACUCGAUCCACUCGGAUGUAAAAAUCUUUCUGGAUCUCCAUUCCAUUCCUGCAACAUAUUUCCUUUGUGUACGAGUCCCCCAGUUUUCCUCAGUGUGAAAAGAUGGAUCUGAACAUCAUAUAGCUGCUGCUGGAAAGGAGUGAAAUAUGCAGAAGAUGCUGGAAAAGCAAAGAUUUGUGCAGGACCUGGAGGAUUUUUCUGAAGAACUGUGGGCAGUUUAACCGCUCAGGACAAACAACUCAUCAACUAUCACAGAACAUAAAAACAUCAUGUCGGUGAUCAUCCAGGGUCGCAGGGGAGCCUGGAACCUAUCCCAGUGAACUCGGGGCAUAAGGCGGGGACACCCUGGAUGAUUUGCCAACCCACUGCAGGGAACAAUCCCACACAAUACAGACCAUUUGGAAAUGCCAAUCAGCCUACAACGCAUGUGUUUGGACUGGGGGAGGAAACCCCCGAAGCACGGGGAGAACAUGCAAACUCCGCACACACAGCGGAGGCGAGAUUCAAACCCCCGACCCUGAGGUGCGAACCAUUAAGCCACCGUGCCCCCGUCCUCACGUAUCAUGAUGUGAUAGCUUUUACAAGUGGACAAAAGUACCAAUCACAACGACAUGGCUGUGCCGGCCACAGUGUUUACAUAAUGGCCUAAUCUCAAUUAUUUGAGCUGAUCAGGAUUAUGUGAAAUCAUUAUGAUACAUUAAUAUAAAUACAUCUGACUAGGAAAAUAUCUGAUGUUGCUAGGACUAAAUUUUGACAAAACAGCCCAAAAUGACGACAAAACAUUUUUUGUUUACAACGUUUUGGCUCAAAUUGAGUUUUUCAGCCUGAUCAUAAAUGCAUUAUCAAAAUGAUAAGGAAAUGUUUUUAUUUCCUUUCGAACAUCACCCUGGCUAUGGUUCUGGAAAGAUCAUGUUGAAUAAAGAGCCUAAUCAAUUCAGUGUGUAAUCAGACACCAGCUGUUAAAUGGUCUGCCAUGCUCCUGCACCACCACAUCAUCAAAACAGAGAAGAGCACUUAGACACUCUGUACAGAUGACGGCGAACAUCUGUACAGAAGUUUUAAAGUAUUUUGUUUACCCGGUAUAAAAAUAAUGAACUUUACCCGACUGAACAGAAGGCACUGUAUUAAUCAGCGAUUAAAUAAUGGAAGGAUUUCUGAAGGGUUUUUCACUUGUCUGUAUUAAACACGGCUCACAGACUCCUCGGGCUGAUUAAACUGGCUAUUAUAGCGACAACUACACUGCUAUAAAGCCUUGUUUUGGAUUCGAACCUGCCACGAUAAUUCAUUUAUUUAUAAAAAAACUAUGACUCAUGAUAAGUGUAAGGGACAGAAUUGAAGAGUUUUAUUCUAGCAUUUGGGUCAGUUUUUGCAGCGAGCUAUUAAGUAAAAGAGUUUUUUUCCCCUAAAGUACAUUGUUUAUUGUCCAGUAACCUAUGCGAGUGUGUGUAUGUACGCAUUUUAUAUAUACACACACCAAUCAGACAUAGAACUACCUGCCUAAUAUUGUGUAAGUCCCUUUUGUGCCACCAAAACAGCUCUGACCCGUCGAAGCAUGGACUCCACCAGACCUCUGUGGG